GGGGAAGACAUUUCACCCACCUUGAUAGGCAAACAAUUUGGUGGCACUGAUUAGAUGUUGGUCUACCCAGUGCAGCUGUGGCUACAGUGAAGCUUAACAUGAGUGUGUGUAUAGAAGAGUAAAAUGCUUUGGAGGCAAAACAAAUGCAGGCCAAUUGCCAUUGUUUUUUUUUUGUUGGUUUUUUUUUUUGUUUCUUCUGCUUAUCAUCCAAGUCAUUGUUUUCUUUAGCUGCUGUGUCUUUGGUACCACCUUCUGUCUAAAUAUAUCAUUGUCCCUGCUAUAGUAGGUUGCCAGCAUGGGCAAAAAUAUGGAUUGCACAAAGACGUUUGCAAAGAGUUCUAAUUAACCAUAAUGGACAGGAAAUGGAGACUGAAAUCAAAUUCUGCUGUGUCCUAUGCAAUCUUGAAAUGUCUAUAGAGUUUAGGCAGCUGUCUCAGUAUGGAUCCAGAUUCAACAGGUAAAAAUUCCCAUGACUCUUGUGAACAUCUGCUCGGACUCGUUGCAGUAGUGUUCCUUUGACCUUCUGAACCACUGCCAAAAACACUUUAAAGUCAGUGGUCGUUUUGUAUUUUAGGAUGCACUUAAAUAUAAACCUAUGAUUAUACAAAACAUUUCAAAUGUGUUGCAGAUGAUGAACUUGACCUCAUGACUGAGUUAUGGAUCCCACAUCUGCACUAAAUGAGUGAAGCAAAUCUAUUUUCUACACAGCACCUCUUUUGAAAAGUGCUUGGACUGACAAAAGAGGAGAGGGAAAGGCAAGAGCACAGAUGCUGGGGUAAUGAGAAAAGACAAACUCUGAGAUUGGAAGAGGGAGACAAACAAGUGCAGUGAAGUCUCCAGCAGGUUUUCUUCCAGGACUGCUCUGUAACCGGCUCCAUCAAUCUUCCUGUCUACUCUGACGAGUGUCAAUGUUCCUGCUGAAGAAAAAGCCGGGAUGGUGUAUUCAGGAUCAAACCUAAUUGCAGGCUCAGUCAGUCUGUACUUCCAGGGGAUCCGGGCAUGCCCGAGCGAAGACCCCAGGUAGUGGGGCUGAUCUCCUGCUUCUUUGUGCACAUUGCAAACAUUCCAGAGAAGCAGAGGGAGGAUCAUCUCCAUGGACACAUUAACACACACAGACACUACUCAGGCAGGAAAGUAAAAAGAAUCCCAGCUGUGUAAAUAAAUCUCUGCAGAAUGGUUGUUUUUUUAUUUUUUUUAUUUUGUCCUCUCAAAGCUGUUAAACUAGCAAAAGUAAGUUGUUUAAAAUGCUUUUCUCACACUAAUGCAGCAUUUUAGUUAAAGACUGUUAGAAAUCCCUCAGUAAGGAAAAUUCUCACACCCGAAAGCAGCUAUAGGAUUUGCUGAUCUUUAGUACUGGAAAUGCUUUUUAAAUAUGAAAUACUGCACAUUCAAAGGUAUUUUUUUUGUUACAAAAAGAAAAGAAAUAGAAAACAGUAGAAUAAAAUCAGCACAUUCAGCUCUACAAGUCUUAAAGCCACACAUUUUCCUUAAACAACCAUAAGAUAAAAUAUUUCUGUUUUAUUUAUAUUGAUGUUUCUAUGCCAUGAAUUUUAUGCCUUCAAAAUCAUGUUUUCUUGCCUCUAUUCAAAGUUAAAACAGUUUUUUUUUCACUGAAUUGCAGCAAGUUUAAUACUGAAUUCUGAAGAUGUUACAAAUAUGUUUUUUUAAUUUACUUUACACAGCUGAAGCUGUUUCCCCUUUCCAAGUCACUCCAGUGAAGCCACUAAACAUCUAAAUUAUAAGGCUGAAACCAUUGAUUUUCUGGAAAAGAAACAUAAAUUUUCUAUAACUUUCCAAAUGCUGUUGCGAGGCAGGUGACUAAAUGUUUUCUCUGCCUUAUGCAUGUGUAGAGACAUACUAGCAUUCUUUUCAGGGCUCUGCAGAAUGUGGAAUCUCUUGCACAUGAUUACAUUAUGAAACAUGGACAUGAGUCACUUAGUCACAGCUGAAUGAAUAUGGGCCAUAGUGGGUAAACUGGGGGGCUGAGUCAACGUCUGGGGGGGAUUUGACAGCAUAAAGGCUGCGGUGUCCUGCAGAGGUGGGACAAUGCUUGGCUUUGUCCAAGUCACCGUUCUAGGACUGAGGUCAAAACCUUUGAGCGUUCUUUCUCAAGGGAAAGUUGAAGUUAAUGAAUUUAAGAUCGAGUGGGGGGAGGGAGCAGUUCCUGCUUGCAAAUACUUUGUCUUAUAAAAAGGGAUAAGUCAUAUGUCUGUAAUGAUUUCCUUUGGGUGAAAAAACUAUGAUUUUAUUUCGUUUCCAUUCAUAGUUUGUUUAGGCUGGUAAGAUUUGGUCUUAUAAAAUUUGGUGUUCUUUAACAGAUUUACAUGCAGCAUUAAGAAAAAAAAACUCUUCUUAUUUAAUUUUACGUGUUCAGUCAAAAAUAAGUUAAAUUGUCUUUUUUUUUUACACUUUAAGAAGAGACACUGGUUGAUUCUUAUUGUUUUACGUUUUGUCUGUAAUCAAUAUUAAGGAGCCUAAAUUCAAGAGACUGCAUGUUGGCACCUAGAUAUAAUGAAAAAACCGACUUUCAGUACUUGUUGCAAACCACUCCUCCUUUCUUUUGAUUUAUUUUGAUAUUUUAAAAUGAGUGAGGCAUUCUUAUAAUCUGAUAAAUAUGCUGCCACCUACAUGUUUAAUCUUUCCGUUUUGGUCUCAUCACCUUAAUAAAACGUCACUAAUAUGUUUUCAAUCUACAGAUAGGCUUAAAUGUGAGUAACAGUAGUUUUCAAACUCUUUGAUGCAUCUGUCUGCUUUCAGCUCCUGUCAUAUUAGCACAAGAAAAAUUAAACCAAUUGGUCUCUUUCCCUCAUCAAAUAUUUCAAAAACAAGUCUUUAACACAUCCCAGUAUAUAAGCUAAUAAAACAGGAUAAAACUGCUCAUUGCCUGAUUAUUUGAUUUUACAUUAUAGGAUUGAAACAGAUGAUACUGCAGAGUCCCUGCAUACAUAUACAUUGAUUUGGAUAUAAUCCACUAAACUGUUUUAGAAACAAGAACUAUUUAACCUUAAUUUAGAGAACCCUCCAUUUUCCCUUAAUACGAUUUUCUUCAUGCCAGUCAUAACACACACAAAACGAAAUCCUGAUUAAUUUCACCACUUAAUUCCAUCCUAUUUGAUAUGCUUUGUCCCUCAAGCUCUGUUGACAAAACGUCACACGAGUCUGCAGAAUCUAAUGACGGCUGCAUUUUAUGUAGAGCUCAGAGACAAACUCUUCAACUGUUUCACUUUUCUUUUUUUUUUUUUUUAGCAAAUGAUGUAUCGUGAAAUGAUAAUUGGUAAAGUGAUGCUCAUUCAUAUUCUAGAAACACAUUCAGAUCAUUUUUUAUGCCUGUCAGAAGGCCAUUGAUGAUAUAAUUAACCACAUAUCAAAAAAUAAUUUUUGCUUCUCUGAUUUAUUCAGUCUUUUUUCAUUCAGAUGUAUAAAAGCCUUCAGUUGUAAUGUUUUGCUUUCCCCAUCUUGACUUUCACUGCAUUGAUUGACAUGUUUGAUGGGUUCAGAUUCUUUAGGGUGAUGUUUGUUGAUGCCUCAGUACAACCAGGGGAGCUUUUUCAAGCACACACUGUUUUGCAUUUUUAUUCAUCUCUAUGUAAAUGUGAAUCAGUAUGCUUAUGGAAAUUAUUUUUUAUUUUUUAUUUUAAGUCUUUCACUAGAAAGAACUACUGAUCAUAUUCAUGGGGAGAUAAUCUAUCAUUUUAUGGUUGAAUGCAUUUUUCUUGCAGCCAUCUGCACUUAGCUCAGAUUGUGACUGUAAUUAAGGUUAUAUUAUGCAAAUUUCAGGAAUUCGAGGUGGGUGGUCCCAAAUCAACUCCAGAACAAGGCAAAUAGCUGAUUGGCCCAAUUUAGCAGACUGGACAUAGAGCCGUGAUUACCUAGCAAAUAUGAGGAGUAAAGGUUUGUGCAAAAGCAGUUGUGCUUAGUAAAGUCUGCUUCUACAUCUCACAACUUCUAUGUUAAAGAAAAAAAAAAAAAAAAUGAAAACCUU